rnacentral:rRNA from 1 species
AUUGAACGCUGGCGGCAGGCUUAACACAUGCAAGUCGAGCGGAGAUGAGGUGCUUGCACCUUAUCUUAGCGGCGGACGGGUGAGUAAUGCUUAGGAAUCUGCCAUUUAGUGGGGGACAACAUUCCGAAAGGAAUGCUAAUACCGCAUACGUCCUACGGGAGAAAGCAGGGGAUCUUCGGACCUUGCGCUAAAUGAUGAGCCUAAGUCGGAUUAGCUAGUUGGUGGGGUAAAGGCCUACCAAGGCGACGAUCUGUAGCGGGUCUGAGAGGAUGAGCCGCCACACUGGGACUGAGACACGGCCCAGACUCCUACGGGAGGCAGCAGUGGGGAAUAUUGGACAAUGGGCGGAAGCCUGAUCCAGCCAUGCCGCGUGUGUGAAGAAGGCCUUUUGGUUGUAAAGCACUUUAAGCGAGGAGGAGGCUACUAGUACUAAUACUACUGGAUAGUGGACGUUACUCACAGAAUAAGCACCGGCUAACUCUGUGCCAGCAGCCGCCGUAAUAC